rnacentral:misc_RNA from 1 species
CAACCCUCAAGCCCCAGCUGGCUUGGUGUUGGGGACCGGCCGCGACCUCACCGCGCGCCGCCCCCGAAAUCUAGUGGCGGUCUCGCUGCAGCUUCCUCUGCGUAGUAGAAACACCUCGCAGUCAGGGACGCGGCGCGGCCAUGCCGUUAAACCCCCAACUUCUGAA